GCCUAUAGCCAUGCCACCCUGAAUACGCCCAAGCUAAGCAAGGUCAGGCCUGGUUAGUACUUGGAUGGGAGACCACCUAGGAAUACCAGGUGCUAUAGGCU
rnacentral:rRNA from 1 species